rnacentral:misc_RNA from 1 species
UCUCCGUUGGUGAACCAGCGGAGGGAUCAUUACAGGACUCGCAAGACUCCUACAACCCUGUGAACCUACUAUACGAACGUUGCUUCGGCGGGUGCGCCCCGGGGAUUCGUUCCCGCGGCGCGUCAGCCCGCCGGCAGCCUACAAAUUCUGUUUCUUUGCGUUGGCAUCUCGAGAAAAACAAAUAAGUUAAAACUUUCAACAACGGAUCUCUUGGUUCUGGCAUCGAUGAAGAACGCAGC